AACGAACGCUGGCGGCAUGCCUAACACAUGCAAGUCGAACGAGACCUUCGGGUCUAGUAGCGCACGGGUGCGUAACGCGUGGGAACCUGCCCUUAGGUUCGGAAUAACUCCCCGAAAGGGGUGCUAAUACCGGAUAAUGUCUUCGGACCAAAGAUUUAUCGCCUUUGGAUGGGCCCGCGUUGGAUUGGCUAGUUGGUAGGGUAAAAGCCUACCAAGGCGACGAUCCAUAGCUGGUCUGAGAGGAUGAUCAGCCACACUGGGACUGAGACACGGCCCAGACUCCUACGGGAGGCAGCAGUGGGGAAUAUUGGACAAUGGGCGAAAGCCUGAUCCAGCAAUGCCGCGUGAGUGAUGAAGGCCUUAGGGUUGUAAAGCUCUUUUACCCGGGAUGAUAAUGACAGUACCGGGAGAAUAAGCUCCGGCUAACUCCGUG
rnacentral:rRNA from 1 species